AUGGAAGAAAGGGCGAUGUUCAUUGCGGUGGCUCAGGCGAGCCCCAACCCCAUCGCCUUCGCGAGGGCGUUUGUGCCGCUCGCCAGCUCCCUCGAGGGGGAAACUCUAAUGACUCUGUUCCGGAUCGGCAUUACUUACCAUCGCCCUACGGAGCUCCCAGACACCACCAAACUUGACUGGAGGGAGACAGUCAUCCGGUGUCUGGAGAGCCUUCGAUCCCGAUCCGGAACCCCUCAGCCGGCACAAGACAAAACAACAACAAUGAACAACAUCAUCAUCCUCAUCUGGACUCUCACACUGUUUGCUCAAGAGUGUAGAGGACAGUACACUGUAACUCAGAGUCCAUCAAUAACAGCAGCUCAAGGACAAGAAGUCAGAAUAAACUGUAAAACCAGCAGUAAUGUCUACAGUGAUAGUUAUGGGUCAAGGAUGGGCUGGUAUUUACAGAAACCUGGAGAAGCUCCUAAACUCCUCAUAUAUUGGGCAACAAGCCGUUACACUGGAACUCCAUCUAGAUUCAGUGGCAGUGGAUCUAACAGUGAUUUCACUCUGACCAUCAGUGGAGUCCAGACUGAAGAUACAGGAGAUUAUUACUGUCAGAGUGUACACUGUCCUAGUAGCUGUGUGUUCACACAGUGA